AUUGAACGCUGGCGGCAUGCCUUACACAUGCAAGUCGAACGGUAACGGGCCUUCGGGUGCCGACGAGUGGCGCACGGGUGAGUAAUACAUCGGAACGUGCCCGAUCGUGGGGGAUAACGAGGCGAAAGCUUUGCUAAUACCGCCUACGAUCUACGGAUGAAAGCAGGGGACCGCAAGGCCUUGCGCGGACGGAGCGGCCGAUGGCAGAUUAGGUAGUUGGUGGGAUAAAAGCUUACCAAGCCGACGAUCUGUAGCUGGUCUGAGAGGAUGAUCAGCCACACUGGAACUGAGACACGGCCCAGACUCCUACGGGAGGCAGCAGUGGGGAAUUUUGGACAAUGGGCGCAAGCCUGAUCCAGCCAUGCCGCGUGCAGGAUGAAGGCCUUCGGGUUGUAAACUGCUUUUGUACGGAACGAAAAGCCUUCUUUUAAUACAGGAGGGUCAUGACGGUACCGUAAGAAUAAGCACCGGCUAACUACGUG
rnacentral:rRNA from 1 species